GACACAGAAUCCGGCAGCAGGCUCCAGGCUCCAAGCCAUCAGCACAGAGCCCGGCCCGAGGGCUGGAACCCCUGACCGUGAGAUCCUGACCUGAGCCGAAGUCGGACGCUUCACCGCCUGAGCCACCCAGGCGCCCCCUAUAACCGUGGGCUUUUAAACGAAUCGUCCAAAUAUGACAGAAGCGGACAUCGUUAAGGGGGCAGAGCGCGUGCUCCCUCCUUCAGCUCUGACGCGAGGUCAUGUCUGCAACCUCCUGAUGGCUCCUCUCGACUGGCACCCUGCCAGUCUGGGGGGACUCCCUACUUUCCAAUAAUAAUAAUAAUAAUAAUAAUAAAACAGCAACCAGAAAACAGCAGCUGUUGUCAAGGAGGUAGGCACCAUUUCCGUGAUUCAUGCAUCCACCUGCCUUGUCUUAUCUUUCGCGCUGUCACCCUGGAUGAUAGAGCCUGAUCAGCCAGCGUUCUCGGUGGAAAAACGGGCUCAGGGCUAUGAAUGACUUUGCCCUAAGAUCACGGAUCUGGGCAGAGGUGAAGCUAUCGGCAGCCAGAGCCCGCUUUCUUCACCAGCGACCCCCCACCCCCACCCCACCCCCGCAGGCAGAGCCGAGGUUUGAAGGCAAGCCAGCUGUUCCAUUCUUGCACAACUCUCGUUCAGAUCUCCUUCCUUGUGCUGAGCCGAACUGCCCCUUCGGGGCCGCAGGGCACACGCAUGCUCCCUUCUCCUCGCCACAGGCCUUGGGAAUUGGAGGACACCACCAGGUCAGCCCUAAAUCUCCUCUUGCAGGCAAAACAAACGCGGCCCCAGUCGGCUGGCUCAUCCUCGGACGCCGUGUUUUCCCAGCCGCCGCGACCUAGUUUGUAAAGGUCCCUCGGAGACCAGGGGGGACCGCCACCCCUCGCUGGAGACCCCUCACUGCUGCAAGCACAGGGCGAGUUGUGACUCCAAGGAGGUCUGGCCACAGGAAUCAGUGGGGCCCCGCGCAAAAUGAAAACGCAAAGUCCCUUUUCAAACGUUGUGGGGAGUUUCAGGCGGCUGACAGUGGACUGGUGAGUCGGCCCCACGGGACCCCGUGUGGCUGCAUGAACUGGCCCUGAUUCUGUGCUCAGGGUCAUUCAACAUGAGCUGAGUAAGGAAGUCAGGUCCGAAUCAAAGCCAGAGAAAGGAUAACACGAGAGCUCGAUAGGGCAUUUCAUCACCUCUGCCCAAUGUAAACGAUGCCAACGUUCUAUUAUAAAUAACAACAUGAACAACAUUUUAUCAUAAGUAACGACACGAACAACCACAACACUUGCAUAGGGGCGCCCGGCUGGCUCAGCCGGUAGAGCGUGCGGCUCUUGAUCUUGGGGCCACGAGUUCGAGCCCCACGCUGGACGGAGAGAUUACUUCAAAAGAAAAGAAAAAAGAAAACAUUGUACAGUGUUCACGAUGUGGCUGGGGGAAUGUUAACCUGAUCUUCGACAUCCUGUUGAGCAUUUUGGAGGAAGCACUCGUAACGACACCACCUCCAGUUUCCAGAGAAGGUUCCUGAAGCGCCUGGGAGGGAGCAACCAUAGCAAAGAGAUCGCGAUUGGAGGGCUCAAACCCAGGAUCACACGGCCACAGAGCCCACGCCCUUUGCAGUUCAACCUCUACCCUUCAGUAGCCCACAUAACAGGAGAGACGUAUAUACACGGAGCUCAGUCUGAGUCCAAUGACCCGUGUCCCUGCAAGGGAAAGCGGAGGGAGAUUCAGACACCCGGAGGAAAAGGCCAGGUGAAGCGGGAGGCAGAGAUUGGAGCGAUGUGGCCACAAGCCGGGGGAGGCGGAGGCUUGCCGGAAGCCACCAGAAGACAGCCACGAGAUGCGUUUCCCCCUCAGAGCCUCCAGAAGGAACCAACCCAGUCAACGCCUUGACUUCAGAUCUCCGGCGUCCAGGACUAGGAGAGGAUCCUUUUCUGUUGCUUUAAGCCGAACAGUCUGUGGUCAUUAGGUAUUACAGCUCUACAUCACUCAUACAGUGCCUUCUUGUGUUUUUAUUUGAUUGAUUUUACGUUUAUUUCUGAGAGAGAGAGCGUGUGCGCGGGGGAGAGAGGGGGGCAGAGGGAAAGAGAGAAUCUCAAGCAGGCUUCCAACGCGGGGCUCGAUCCCACGGCCCUGGGAUCGUCACCUGAGCUGAAAUCAAGAUCGGACGCUCAACUGACUGAGCCACCCGGGCGCCCCUCCUUCUUGUGUUUUCAGAGGUGCUCGUGUGUCUACAGAACAAGCGUACGCAGCUCUGGUUGGAUCUCCAGAGAGCGCUGUCCAGCAGAAACCUAACACACGCGCCAAGUGCAAGCCACACGUGGAACUUGACAUUUGCGAGUCACCGUGUCGGGGCGCCUGGGCGGCUCAGUCUGUUAAGCGUCCGACUUUGGCUCGGGUCGUGAUCGCCCGGUCCGUGAGUUCGAGCCCCGCAUUGCGUGAGCUCAAGUCCCACUUCGGGCGAGCUCGAGCCCCAACUCUGGGCUCCGCACUCUGCACUCUCUCUCCCUCUGACCCUCGCUCACGCAUGCUCUCUCUCUAAAAUUAAAAAAAAAAUUUUUUUUCUUGUAGCCAUGUUAAAAAAAAAAAUGUAUCAGGUGGAAUUAAUUUCUAUAAUCGUAUGAGUUCCCUGUGGCCACUGUAACAAAUUACCCGGAACUUGGUGACUUAGAAGAGUAGGAAUUUAGUCUUUCACGAUUCUGGAGGCCAGAAGUCUGACGCCGAGCCGUUGGCAGGGUUUUGCUCCCUGCCACAGCGUCCAGGAGAAUCUGUCCCUUGCCUCUUCUGGCUCCUGGUGAUGCUGGGAUUCCUUGGCUUGUGGCCACCUCUCUCCAGCCUGCUGUCUCCUCUUCUCCACGUGUCUGUGUAACUCUCCCUCCAUCUCUCACUGAUCAAGAUACGUGUGAUCGCAUUCGGGGUUUACCUGGGUAAUCCCAGGGUAAUCUCCCCAUCUCGAGAUCUUUAACUGUGUCACAAUCGCAAAGAAGGACCCCUUUUCCCAAAAGGCAACACGGGUUCCAGGAAUAGGAACUGAUAUCUUUGGAAUAUUAUGCAGCAUAUUAUAAUAAUGUAUUUGAUUUAACCUAAUAUAUCCGGGUGCCUGGGCAGCUCAGUCAAUUAAGCACAUGACUCUUGAUUUCAGCUCAGGUCAUCAUCCACAGUUGGUGAGACUGAGCCCCGAGUCAGGCUCUCUGCCCUGACAGUGUGGGGCCUACUUGGGAUUCUCUCUCUCUGCCCUUCCCUGCUUGUGCGCUCUCUCUCUCUCUCUCUCUCUCUCUCUCAAAAUAAAUAAAUAAACUGUAAAAAAGAAUAUUUUAACUUAAUGUAUCAAAAACAUUAUCACUUGGGGCGCCUGGGUGGCUCAGUCGGUUAAGCGGCCGACUUCGGUUCGGGUCACGAUCUCGCGGUCCGUGAGUUCGAGCCCCGUGUCGGGCUCUGUGCUGACAGCUCAGAGCCUGGAGCCUGCUUCAGAUUCUGUGUCUCCCUCUCUCUCUCUGACCCUCCCCUGUUCAUGCUCUGUCUCUCCCUGUGUCAAAAAUAAAUAAAUGUUAAAAAAAAAUUAAAAAAAAAAACAUUAUCACUUUCGGGGUGCCCGGGUGGCUCAUUCGGUUAAGCAGCCAGCUCCGGCUCAGGUCACGAUCUCACAGCUCAUGGGUUUGAGCCCCGCGUCGGGCUCUGUGCUGACAC